rnacentral:rRNA from 1 species
UUUUCCUACGGGACGCAGCAGUGAGGAAUAUUGGUCAAUGGACGCAAGUCUGAACCAGCCAUGCCGCGUGCAGGAAAACGGCUCUAUGAGUUGUAAACUUCUUUUGUACGAGGGUAAAUGCAGGUACGUGUAUCUGUUUGAAAGUAUCGUACGAAUAAGGAUCGGCUAACUCCGUGCCAGCAGCCGCGGUAAUACGGAGGAUCCACUCGUUAUCCGGCUUUAUUGGGUUUAAAGUGUGCGUAGGCGGUUUU